rnacentral:rRNA from 2 species
UGGGGAAUAUUGGACAAUGGGCGAAAGCCUGAUCCAGCCAUGCCGCGUGUGUGAAGAAGGUCUUCGGAUUGUAAAGCACUUUAAGUUGGGAGGAAGGGUAGUAACUUAAUACGUUGCUACUUUGACGUUACCGACAGAAUAAGCACCGGCUAACUUCGUGCCAGCAGCCGCGGUAAUACGAAGGGUGCAAGCGUUAAUCGGAAUUACUGGGCGUAAAGCGCGCGUAGGUGGUUCAGUAAGUUGGAAGUGAAAUCCCCGGGCUCAACCUGGGAACUGCUUUCAAAACUGCUGAGCUAGAGUACGGUAGAGGGUAGUGGAAUUUCCUGUGUAGCGGUGAAAUGCGUAGAUAUAGGAAGGAACAUCAGUGGCGAAGGCGACCACCUGGACUGAUACUGACACUGAGGUGCGAAAGCGUGGGGAGCAAACAGG